rnacentral:rRNA from 1 species
GUAGGGAGCAAGCGUUGUCCGGAUUUAUUGGGCGUAAAGAGCGUGUAGGCGGCCAGGUAGGUCGGUUGUGAAAACUGGAGGCUCAACCUCCAGACGUCGACCGAAACCAUCUGGCUAGAGUCCGGAAGAGGAGAGUGGAAUUCCUGGUGUAGCGGUGAAAUGCGCAGAUAUCAGGAAGAACACCCGUGGCGAAAGCGGCUCUCUGGGACGGUACUGACGCUGAGACGCGAAAGCGUGGGGAGCGAACAGGAUUAGAUACCCUGGUAGUCCACGCCGUAAACGAUGGGUGCUAGGUGUGGGAGGUGUCGACUCCUCCCGUGCCGCAGCUAACGCAUUAAGCACCCCGCCUGGGGAGUACGGCCGCAAGGCUA